rnacentral:rRNA from 1 species
CCUACGGGAGGCAGCAGUAGGGAAUCUUCCGCAAUGGACGAAAGUCUGACGGAGCAACGCCGCGUGAACGAUGAAGGCCUUCGGGUCGUAAAGUUCUGUUGUUAGGGAAGAACAAGUGCUAGUUGAAUAAGCUGGCACCUUGACGGUACCUAACCAGAAAGCCACGGCUAACUACGUGCCAGCAGCCGCGGUAAUACGUAGGUGGCAAGCGUUGUCCGGAAUUAUUGGGCGUAAAGCGCGCGCAGGCGGUUUCUUAAGUCUGAUGUGAAAGCCCCCGGCUCAACCGGGGAGGGUCAUUGGAAACUGGGAAACUUGAGUGCAGAAGAGGAAAGUGGAAUUCCAAGUGUAGCGGUGAAAUGCGUAGAGAUUUGGAGGAACACCAGUGGCGAAGGCGACUUUCUGGUCUGUAACUGACGCUGAGGCGCGAAAGCGUGGGGAGCAAACAGGAUUAGAUACCCUGGUAGUCCACGCUGUAAACGAUGAGUGCUAAGUGUUAGAGGGUUUCCGCCCUUUAGUGCUGAAGUUAACGCAUUAAGCACUCCGCCUGGGGAGUACGGUCGCAAGACUGAAACUCAAAGGAAUUGACGG